rnacentral:rRNA from 1 species
CAUGCCUUACACAUGCAAGUCGAACGCGAAUUAGUCUUCGGACAUUAGUAGAGUGGCAAACGGGUGAGUAACGCGUGGGACUAUACCUUAUAGUACGGAAUAGCCUCGGGAAACCGGGAUUAAUACCGAAUACGCCCGUCGGGGGAAAGAUUUAUCGCUAUAAGAUUAGCCCGCGUCAGAUUAGCUAGUUGGUGGGGUAACGGCCUACCAAGGCAACGAUCUGUAACUGGUCUGAGAGGACGAUCAGCCACAUUGGGACUGAGACACGGCCCAAACUCCUACGGGAGGCAGCAGUGGGGAAUAUUGGACAAUGGACGCAAGUCUGAUCCAGCAAUGCCGCGUGAAUGAUGAAGGCCUUAGGGUUGUAAAGCUCUUUCGACGGGGACGAUGAUGACGGUACCCGUAGAAGAAGCCCCGGCUAACUUCGUGCCAGCCGCCGCCGUAA